CGCGUCCACAAAGAGCGCCGAGCGCGCCACCCAGUGGGUGCACGCACGAGCUGCCCGUCCACCCGGACUCGGGGUCAGUGCCCGGACACUUGGGACUGAAGCGCAGGGCAAACUGGAGACACGUCGGGCGCGUCCGAUCUGCUUCUCUGGGCUCGUGUUGCUGAGCGAGUGGAAGACGGAAAAGAAACCCGGGAAAAGCCAACAGACACAAACGCCUGCUGAGCCACGGAACUGUUCCGGACGGCGCGCGGCCGCGCCAACCUGCGGCCGCGCCAACGUAACUGGGCGAUGCGCCUGCGCGGUAGGAUGGACUCGCUGGAAGGUCGUCACGGAAGGGUGAGAGCAGGACCAAUCCCAGGUCAGAGCAGAGACCCUUAGUCCUGAGCAUGGAGCCGGGGGAGGGAGUGAAGCCCACGGGUGGAUGGUUCUGGAGAAUGUGUCUUUACCAACUUCAUCCUCUCCAGUGCAGAUUCCUAGCCGCGUUCCUUGGGAGGACGUUGGCGCGCGGCCGGAAAGGGUCAGCCCCGGUACCAGCCCGUCUUCCGUUUCCUCUGCCUGCUUGCCACGCCCUCGGCAGACCCCGUGCAAGGAUUUUCUGCGCAGUCUCCCGGGUCGCUCUACCACCGACCGCAGCGGAGAUCGCCCGGAUACGGUACUGCUGAGCUGACGCUGGGGUUCCAAAUGUCAGUGUGCUCAGCUCUGAGCCCUGGACUGUCCGCUCAUCUGCUGGAACUCCCCAACACGGGACGGAGAAGAGACUGGGAAUGAAGCCGUCCGAACCCUACGUGCUGGUGUGCAAGUCGUGUGAUUUCUGGGCAACUUGAUUAAUGGCCAACCACCUGCUUCAUUUAUUCAUGGAAUUGCAGAGUGAUAGAUCUAGAUGAGAAUUUAGGUAUGCAGUGCAAAUCCAGAGUUUUCUGGGAAGCAAAUGGAAACCCAGAGGAGGAAACGUAUUUACCCGGGGCGACAUGGCUUCAAUAGAGUCCAGUGCCUCCCAGCCAUCCCGCCUUGAGUCCCUCCCAUCCCCCCCUCAAGCUGAUAGGCUCUUAGGAUCUCUGCAUGCCCUCUUCAGGAAUGUUUCCUGAGCACCGAAGAGCUGAAUAGUAUUCUGCUGCAUAUAGACGUGGAAGGCCACAGAGUCCAUGAGGCUCCUCAGCCCCUGGAGAGGAAAAUGAGCCCCAGUUCCUCGGGGAGCCACCGGGACACAAACUGAGGUUUUUGGCCCUAUGGGGGACCUAAUCUGGAAACGUGGGAGCUACAAAGACUCCACCACUACUGCUCACAGCACACAGAUGUGUCUUCUGUUUAGCCUCAUGAAAGAUGGUCUUAACUCAACAUGUUAGUGACCGUGAACAGGGACCGUACCAAACUCUGCAGCAAGCACGUUUUUAGAUGCCUGCGGAGUCCAGAAGAGGGCUUCCGGUCCCUCAGAGGUGGUUGUGAGCUGCCUGACCCGGGGGCUGGGAAUCCUCCUCUGGAGGAGAAGUGUGUGUUCUUAGCCGUGAGCCGCCUUCCAGUACCAGCCAGAAGCAGCUCUUCAUUAACCGUGGCCACCAUGGAAGAUUAGACACCUGUAGAGGUGAGGAGUGUUGGGGGGAGCAAGUUCCAGAGGCAUCUGAACCCUAAAAAUCACGCUAGUGUUUCCUGAGGCCCAGGGGGCCAAACUCUUCCCUCUACACCUCUGGGCCAUACCUUCCUUUGUUUGACUGGACUUUAAAAUCCUCCCACAGUGCCUGGCACCUGAAAAUGCCAACCGAAAUCCUACCCCAGCUCCUUCUAGGCUAUAAUGCAGCCUGCCUUGAUGAAGAACUCCUAGGAUUGGCCACAGGGCUUCCGUUCUCUCUCUCUCUCUGGGUGUGGGUAUGUGUGUCCGUCUGUCUGCCUGUCUCUAUCCCCCCCAGCCUCCAGCCUCUGGGGUUUACACAGUGGCAAGGGAGGCCUCAGGACUCUUCUGGAGAUGCUUUAUUUUGUUUUAUUUUUAUAAUCUGGGCUUAGGCAAAGAAUCUGGAAAUUCCUUAAUAUCCAGUGUGGGUUUGGGUGAAAACAUUUUGCUUGCUAGCUCUCUGCUAUGGAUCUGAAAGGCAUGAGGCAGUCAGCCCCCAGGCCAGGCCAGAUGGAGGAGCCCUACACCUCCAGAAUGCUGCCUGUAACCCCUUGGCUGUUUGUCUUGUGCCAGGGCCUCAUUCCUCCACCCAUGACUCCUCGACCAGCCACAGCUGGCCCCCAAGACAGCAGCUGCUUGUCUCCCUUCUGGGCUGGGGACACAUCCUCGUGUAGCAGUGCCCAGAUAAUUCCUGAUUGCCUUCCCUGCUGACCAUAUAGGAGCUGAGCGAUUUCCCCAGCCAGCCCCUGGGGAAAAACAAUGGAAUGUUCCCGUAGCCAGAGUCCGAACUGGCCAAGCAGCUCGUGGCCGGGUCUGUUUCUAGGAAGAGCGAGGCCAGAGUGUGUUCUUGGGCGAGCAGGGAGGCACGGAGGGAGCCCACAGCUCUCUACACAGGGCAAGCAGGGCAAGAGUAUGAGGCUUGGUGAUGCAAUAUGAACAAGCAGAGCUAGGAGGAAAUGAGAGAGAGGUUUUGUUUAUUCUUAAUUCUCUUUGAAGUUAGGUCUCAAGUGGUAUCCAGAGGGAAAAAACAGGAAAGAGAAAACAUCAGAGGCAUGAGGCAGACGAUGUGUGCCUCGUUGCUCAUGGCUUGCUCCAUGCCCGACUCCAUGCCAGAGAACUGGGUGCCAGGAUCCUACACCCUCGGGGCUGCCAGCUCAUGACCAUCAGGGCAGCAUCUUACCAAGAGACAGCAAUGUUCCGCCAGGCAGGGACAUGCUCUGUGGACCAUUUCUGCUUGUUUUGUUUGUGUGGGGUUGAAGGGUGAGCCUUAGCACACUUGAGGUCAGAGGUCAGCUUGAAGCAGUUGCUUUUCUCUUUCCUUCUCUCCCCCAUGUUAUAAGGAUUGAGGUCAGGUUGUCAGGCCUGGCAGCAAGUGCCUUCAGGAGCUGAGCUGUCUCCCCCAGCCCUCUGCUGUGAUGUUGCGUUGCUCAGGCUGCCUCAGGUACCUGUACUCAACCAGUCCUCCCGCCCUGGCCUCUCAAGUAUGAGGUCAUUUCUGUAGCUGUGGUGUCUAGUAUGGAGCCUGGCACGCAGGACUUCCUCAAUAAAGAAUAGCCAAGCACUGUUAGCUAUUAUUCUGGGUCCUUGUUCUUUCGCAGACUAGAAGAUGAACAUUAUUCAAACCAGGCAGGAUGCUUUCAGUACUCUCUUCCUGUUUGCUGCUCUCCUCUCUCCCCCCGAUUUUCCCCCUCUCCCUCUCCCACUCUCUCUUUGUCUCUCUAGCUUUUGGUUUUUCUAGACAGAGUUUCUCUGUAUAGCCUUGCCUGUCCUGGACUUGCUCUGUAGACCAGGCUGUCCUCGAACUCAGGUAUCCACCUGCCUCUGCCUCCCAAGUUCUGGUAUUAAAGGCGUGUGCCACCGCUUGCCAGCAGCUCUGUAGAUUCUUGAAAGAGAGAACAAAAGGAAGAAAAACUUGUAAGUCCCCAAACUGAAAUUGUUACUGGACAUCACUCAAAUCCUAUUCCCAGUUUUUAUCAACUAAGGUCUAGGGAGAAGGCCCUUGGCACCAACUCAAUGGCAGCGACAUAGCUGAGAUUUAGGGCUCAACCUCAUCCCUCCAGUAAGCGGACAUCACCUGGUUCGGUGGGAACCGGCUUUCUGCCCUUGCUCAGAAGCACCCUCUACCCACGGUAAGGCGGGCUGUGUUGGGCACACUUGAGUUCCUUUCUGCUGGCCUUGGUAGCCCACCCCAGCAGGAAGGUGUUGAGGCUGGAGCUCCGUAGGAGGCGUCCCCAAAAAGGAAGGUGCUGAGGCCAGCCCUCAGACAUCAGGGCUUUGUCUGAGGUGCCCAGGCCUUCAGGGCCCGUGAAGCACAGCAGUGUCUGCUGUGGACUUUCUGUGCUUGGGUCAUUGCCGAAAUUCCCAGGUCUUUGGUAACCUGAACACUUGACAUUUUCAGGGUAAUAUUUUUCCCAAGGCAUUUGUUCUGGAUCACUAACGUUUGGUGCAUGAGCUAUCAUUUUUGAUUCGACAUAUUUAAACCUCAUUUUUUCCCCUAGACAAGACAAAUUGAAUUUGUAACUUCCCAUAUGGGGUUUUAUGAAAAGAUUGGUGCUGGGAUGCCCUGGGUUCCCAGGCUGAUGUCAUCUGAUUGGCCAUGACAGUCUUUUCCCACUUCAGGGUAUGAGGGAGUAAUUGCAAGUACUCCAACUGGGAGAAGGUAUGAGUGGGCUUUUCUCCUGAGGGGGGAAAACAGAUCUUAGCAGAUGGAUGAGUAUCGGCGCUCGGGGUUCUCUCCACUGCCUGGAGGGCCCUUCUGGAAUAGAAGCCUCACAGCUCUGCACAUCUUGACUGUCUACUGAGCUCUUCUCACAGGCUGGGAGGGCAGGGCUGUCCUCCGUGCCUGGGACAACACCGGGAAGCUGAGCAUGUGGUCAAGAUUGGACACAAAAGAGGGGGUAGGUGGCGGUCCUCAGUGUGGGCAGCUCCUGUGUCAGCCUGGGCUUCCCACUCCAAACCAGACCUCUCCCUGCCCUGUGGGACCUAUCCAGCUUGUCCCUUUCUUCUGGUGACAAAGCCCUAGCUCUAGCUAUGGCUCCUGGUUAGCCUACUUUCAGAAGAAGGGGGAGGGGUGGAGAGUUUCACAGCAGGGUGGACCAUGGGAGGCAGUCUUGGUGCUUGCAGGGAGGCCUGAACUAUAGUCCAGGCGUGUGGCGUUGAGCUCAGGCUGACCUCUUCUCGUGGCUCUGCUUGGCUCAGUGUUUGGGGUUUUAUCCUCCUGAGCUAUCAGAGUUUGUACCCUGCAACAAGAAGCGGAGCUAGGGAGUUGGCCCUGACCAGCUCUGUGGCACUAAAGUCGAUUCUUGUUAGACAGACAAAGCCUCGAAUAACUUACUCUUUGCCAGUACUUUUCUGUUGCCCAAGGCUAUAUAGCUCUGUGACCUGUAAUCAGUUGCUUAACCUCUCUGAGUCUGCUCAUAGCUGUAGAAAAUGAAUAUAAGACAAGUUGCUUUCCUUCACCCGGGCUAUUGCAGGGGAUUAAAAGUAGUGACGUGUAUUAGAGUCCUUUUUAGAUGACAAGGUGCUGUUCUGCUCUAAGGGGCUCAUUACAAUCAUCCUGGCUAUUGUAGAGGGACGAGAAUAGCUACUUCUUAGUAAUACUGUAGCCACAAACUCUGUUAUGAUGGAUGAAGAAAAAAAAAAGCCCAUUUUCCCAGUGGAAGAGUGACCCCAGACAAAACAGACCAAUAAAUAACCCCAAAUGAGAACAAUGGGGUCCCCUGGACCCACAGUGGAGGACAGAGCCCUGACUCCUUCAAGCUGCCCUUUACGUACUCACAUACAGAGAUGGAAACAAGUAAGUGUGACAGAAGUCUGAAACUGCUCUUUGUUAUUACCAGAAAUAGUUUUCAGAAUCAAGAGCAAUUGUUCGACUCUGUCCUAACUCCAGCAUCAAACAUUAUUUUAUCUUCUGAAACAGGGUCUCCCAUAGCCCAGGGUCUCCUGAUCUUCCUAUCUCCAGCUCAGACUGCAGGAUACAGGACCACGCCCAGCUCCAAACAUCAUUUAUUUGAUACAGUUUAACUGGCGUUGGGUGGAAGUGAAGGGUCAGAGCGAGUGUCCACAGGAAGACACUCCGGCUGGGACCACUCCCAUCAUGCUGUGGCUUCUCCUUUCAAUUGGAACUGACCUGGUUUGACCAACCAGAGAGCCACAGUCCCCCCGGGCGGGGUGACUGGUUCAGCAGGGGGCAGGAAGUCCAAAGCGAGAGUCAGCCGAAGGAGUUGGCUGGCACAGCUGAGGACACGUUCUUUCUCGCCUGGAAAGCUGCCGAGAUGUGCGGUAUACGCUUAGAGAUGUUGGUUUCUCUUUGCAUCUCCUAAGAGUUGAGAGACACGGGGCUGAGAGGCGAAGAGCUUCCCACUGAGGUGGUUUCAGGGCAGAAGAGACAAGUUGUGCCACCUUGACCACGGGGGGUCUCCAUCCCUUCACUAAUGUGACCUAGAUAAUGCUUCACAGGCAUCCCCAGAGGCCAACCCAGACAAGGUUCACCUCCCAGGUUGACAGUAUUAAUCACCGUGUGCAAUAACCAGGUUCAAGACCGGCAAGCUUGAGUCAUUUCAGUGUGCUAUGGUGCACACAGGUUACCUGGCUGGUUGUCUGGUGCCUAGCCCAGAGAUGACGGCGGAGGACUUGCCCUGAGUGGAAGGGCCCUACCGGAAGUGGGCCUAAAAUCCCACCUUCCCCGGGUGGCUUAGGUAGGAAGAUUUCAAGUUCAAGGACUUUCUGGAGGUACAGAGUGAGUUCAAGGUUGACCUUGGCGAUUUAGCGAGGCUCUGCCUAAGAUAAAAAGUAAGAAGAUUGCUGGGGUUGCAGCUCAGCAUUGGAGAAUUUGACCAGCAUGCGUGGAGCCCCGGAUUCAGUCCCCAGGACUCGGCAUCUGGGGCAGAGCCUAGGUGAGGAGGUGGCUGGAGGAUGUUUUGUGUGAGCUGUUUGCUCUCUAAGAGAGGCAGCCAAUUGUUCAAGGUGUCAAAGCCCCAGAAGAGAAAAGCCAUGAUUAAUGCAGCGAGAGGCUGCUCAUCCUCCUGCAGGCCAGUCUGGGCCUGUUCACAGGACAGUGGCUUCCCAGCAGCAAGAGAGGACAAGCCUCUGGGGACAAACACUUCCGUCCUCUGCCAUGUCUUGUCCACCAUUGUCUUGGGGGACACAGCAUGCCAUGUGUGCAAGCUCACAGCCAGCGUGGGAGGAGACUGUAAGCCGGGAAUGGAGCAGAGCUAGGAAAGGUCCUCUGUCUGAAACCACUGCAGCGACCCUCCGUUACCAUGGAGAGCUCCAGUCCUGGGUGCUGGCUGCAGCCUGGGGACAGCCCCCACCCACCUAGGGACUCCACUCUGUGACCUUGACUAUACUGCAGGAAAGAAUUUCAGGGUGGAUUAGAAUGGAACAGAGCUGUGCUUAUUAAAUAAAGAUGAGAGUAAAAGCAAAAAAAAAAAAAAGAUUCAAAUAGAGGCAGAGAAGGUGAGGGAACACAGAUAAUAGUGAGUCAGACAUUGUGGCGCAUGCCUGUGAUCCCGGCGUUUGUGAAACGGCGGCUGGGAAAUUAUAACUCCAAAGCCAGUCUAGGUUAUGUAGCAGAACUCUGUCUGUAAAUAAGUAAACAAACAUACUUUCAAAAGAAAAGGAUAAUGCUGUACACCCAGGAGGAGGACCUCCUCCCCUUCUAUCUGACCCUUGCCUAUCAGGUCUCAUCAGGACUGGCUGCAUUGUCUUCCUCUGUGGCCUGGUAAGGCUGCACCCUCCCCCCAGGGGGAGGUGAUCAAAGACCCAGCCACUGAGUCCAUGUCAGAGACAGUCCCUGUUCCCCUUACUAGGGUACCUACUUGGACACAGAGCUGCCAUGGGCUACAUCUGUGCAGGGGUCUAAGUUAUCUCCAUGCAUGGUCCAUGGUUGGAGUAUCAGUGUCAGAAAAGACCCUGGACCCAGAUUUUUUGGUUCUGUUGCUCACCUUGUGGAGCUCCUGUCCCCUCCAGGUCUUUCUAUCUCCCCCUUCUUUCAUAAAUUGUAGUAUAUUUAUACAGUGGAAUACUACUCAGCAAUAAAAAACAAGGAAAUCAUGAAAUUUGUAGGCAAAUCGUGGGAACUAGAAAAGAUCAUCCUGAGUGAGCUAUCCCAGAAGGAGAAAGUCACACAGGCUAUAUACUCAUACUGGAUAGCAGACAUAUAAUAUAGGAUAAACAUACUAAAAUCUGUACACCUAAAGAAGCUAAGCAAGAAGGAGGACCCUGGGUAAGAUGAUCAAUCCUCACUCAGAAAGGCAAACAAGAUAGACAGCGGAAGAGGGAAAAAACAGAACAGGACAGGAGCCUACGACAGAGGCCUCUGAAAGACUCUACCCUGCAGGGUAUCAAAGCAGAUGCUGAGACUCAUAGCCAAACUUUGGGCAGAGUGCAGGGAAUCUGGGUUUGGUUUUUUUUUGAGACAGGGUUUCUCUGUGUAGCCCUGGCUGUCCUGAACUUGCUAUGUAGACCAGACUGGCCUUGAACUCACAGAGAUCCUCUGCCUCUGCCUCUGUGCUGGGAUCACAGGUGUGCACGACCUCUCCCAGCUGAUUAUAUAGGUUUUAAAGAUAAAAUGAAGGACAAGAUUUUCAACUGUGGCCUGGGGGCUGUUGACUUUUCCCUUGGAGCUUCGGGCCUCCUGUCUGCAGCAUCUCACAGCUGGCCGCCCCUAUGCUGGAUUUUCUAAAUCUCUGGGUUCACUGUGUCACAUGCAUUCUGACCCUCGGACAUCAGCCAGGCGUGAUGUUAAGUGUGGCUCACAUCCUCAUCAUGUUCUCAGGGUCUCUGCCCUCCCCCGUCUGCCGAUCUUCCUGGGAACACAGGAUGUGCUCGGCCGGCCAGGGACCCCCCCCAGAACGUGUCUGGGAACCUCAUCCCGAAGCACUACAGCCUUGUGUUCUCCGUGUGCCUGUCACAGAGCGUCAGCGGUUGGUCCUGCGCGUCUCGGUCACCUGAGCUGGCGUCUGUGUUUCUCUGAAGCAGGGAAGCAAGGUUGAGCCCUUGUCUGGUCACCAUGACAAAGCACGACGACAAAAGCAGCUCACGGAAGAAAGCACUUAAGUGUGGGCUGGCUUACCGUGUCAGAGCGUGAGUCCUUGUCACGCUCCUGGCGGCAGGCGGGCAUGGCCGUGGAGCAGUGCCUGACCGGCAAGGUGGAGGCAGAGGGAGGUUGCGGGGACACGGAGAAUGGGCCUGGCACUGCCAAAGCCACCUCCCAGUUCUGUGUGUACCCACUUUCCUUGCAGUUUUCUUGGGUUACUCCAGUAACAGAGCCCAGACCAAAGUGUGAGUGUGUGUAUAAGAGAGUGUGUAUGUGUGGGGGUGUCUGGGUGUGAGCGUGUGUGUGUGUGUGUGUGUGUGUGUAAGUGUCUGUGGAUUCUGGAACAGGAGGUGGGUUAGGAAAGUGUCCCUGGGAGGCAGGAGUGGGAUUGGGAGAGGGGCAGGAAGGAAGUGCCUUCUCUGUGGUUGCUGCAUGCUACUUCACUUCUGGGCGGACAGGACCGAGGGUGCUCACCCACGGGCACUGCCCGGUUUCCCGUCCCGGAGACAUACUCUGGGUUCCGGUUGUGUGGGGCUGAGAGGGCUGCUGAGGGGAGAGCAGGGCUGCUGGGCCCCGAUGUGCCAGGGCUCUGCAGUGUCUGCCCUGGCAGUCUCGCCCUUCCUGCUGCGCCGGCUUGGUAAGGGUAAGAACAGCAAAGAACAGCAACAGAACACGUUGCUCGCUUCCUGUGCCCAGCCACAGACCUCAUGGCGUCCAGCACCUCAGCACCCGAACACAGGCGGCCUAAGCGGCACCAUCUGGAGAGCGUGGCAGCUGGAGAGCAUGGGAUCAUCUUCUGAGGCCUGGAGAGAAAGCAGGACACUGUUCAUAAGCUCAGCGUGAACACAUCCAUACGUCUCGCUGACAACCUGCGGUAGGAUGUGGGUGGGUAAAAUUUGCUUUCCUCCCUUCUCAAAGUCAAAGACAACUCAUUGGAACCUAGACUAAUGAAGUGCGGACCUUGGGGAUAAAGCCACAGGGCUGUGUCCGGCAGACUGUGGAGCAGUACCUGUCAGAUGGACUUGGUGACGUGGGGCCUUUAUCACACUCUUCAAGGGGACGAGAACAAGGUCUCAAGGUCUAGGUUGUGCGUAGUUGUUUGCUCUCUGCCUAACUUCAGGCAUAUCACACCACCACUUGAAACCCCACCUUUCUGCCCGUUGUCUACCUGUCUUCCAGCUUUUAUGAAGAUCAAAUUAGCUAAUGCAUGUGGAGGAGCUGGGAGGUGCCCCUUUCACUCCGAGGGACCCAGGGCUGCCUUGACCUUCCUGCUGCUAUGUCUGUUGAGGCCUCCGUUACUGGUUUAUAACUUCCUUCCUCUCCCAGGGGGAACCUGAAUCGAAGCAGCCUUUCUCCACCAGGCAGACACAGCACACCAAGGAUGGAGGAUGCUUCCUACCCUCCAGGGUCUCCGUGUCACGGGAGAGCGAGACAAGCAAGUAGGCUCGUACCAGUGCAGGAAGAUGGAGCUUCACAAGACAUCGAUAGAAGACCGGAGGGGGUCACCUCGGCCUGUGCUGAGGACUGAGGAGGGGCUGGGAAAUAGAACACAGUAGCCCCAAGUGGCCAGAUUUGCAAAGGAGUGGAGGCAGGAAAGAAUACAGCACAUUCACUUAUAAUGCUGGAGUUUUCAGUCAUGGAACCAUGCAUUUCUAAAUUAACAUUAUGCAGAUUCUUGAUUAAGAAACACAGGUUUGAUGAGAUGCGUGAGGCAAACAGGUAAUGACGAUAAAUGUAUGCAAGUCUGUAGCCGUGGUCCAUGCUGAAAGUGUGUGUAUGGGCUUGAAUAAUAAAGAUAUUCAUGAAUAUUAGAAUGGAGAGUGUGGAGAUGACAGAAACGCUAACUUCUCCCAUUUUCUGUUCUUCCUCAUCUGGGUCUUGGGAACAGGUAAUGCCGUUUUCAUCCAUUGGUGGUGAUAUUCGUAUAACUCACCUCCUGGCAGUACAGCAAAACGAGCAAUCUGCUUAUAUAUUAUUUAUAAUGCUUGCUUAAAGGUACACUCUUUUUAAUCUGAAUUUUACAGAAGAGAAAACAAAUGAGGCUGGGAAAGAUGAGCCAACUUUUCCAAAGUCAAAAAAGUUAAAUCACAGGCUGGAGUGUGUGAAGGGCAGACUGCAUGCCCCAUCCCCCAUCCACAGCUUUGCUUUCCGGGGUUUCCGCUGCCCAUGGCCAUCUGUGACCGAAAAUAUUAAAUGGAAAAUUCCAGAAAUGAGUAAUCUAUAAGCUCUCAGAGACAACGGCCGUAUCCUGAGUAGUACUGUGACGUCUUGCACUGUGUCAUUCUGCCUUUCCUGGGCGUGAAUCAGCCCUCAUCCGGGUGUCCACCCUGGGCCUAUUAUUCACCUCUGAGUCACUUAGCUGCUUGGUUAUCAGAUCAACUGUCGUGGAAUCACAGUGUUUACUUCUGUUAACCUUUAUUUAAUUUAAUCGUGGCCCUAAAGCAGGGAGUGUGAUCAGGGGAAGCAUGGACAUGGAGAGACGAGCUUGAGAUCUCUGGGUCUGAGCUCUGAGGCUCGUGAGGCACAAAUGAGCAGAAGUGGCUUAGUGUCCUCGCGGGUUUCUGGGGUCGACUGGAAGUCACGGAGCAUACUCUCCGUGGAUCAGUGGUGUUGCUAACUUAAAUCCUCCAUUUAGCUCCCUGAAACCCCAGUGAAGGAAGCAAGUAUAAUGUCAGGCCGCAGGCUUUAACUGCAGGCUCUGUUUUUUGUUGUUUGUUUUCUGUGGGUCUCUGGGCAGUAUAGUUAAUUUCCCAAAGCAUCCGAUCCUAUCAAUAAAAUGGAAGUGAUACUAGCAUUGGCCCUGAAGGGUAAGGGAGAUGAAUUUUUUUAUAUCCCUGCCUGUCUUGGCUGUGUCUGGCUCAUGGUUGAGGAAGUAAAUGCCAGCCACUUAAAAAUUGUUGUAAUUCCUGGGCAGAGGCUGGAAUGCUCGGGGCAGCAGCACCUGCAGCUGACUGGGUCGAGCCCUUGGUUCACUGCCUCCACAGCCAUCCCAACCACCUGGCACUCGUGGCUUUCCCCUGCAGCACAAGGCUGUGGUACUCAUUUCUAAGAUGUCUGUUGGUGACACCUCCUCCCUCCCAAGAUUUACUGCCAGAUUAACCACGGUCGUAUCAUAGCUGUUUUCACAUAAUGGCCGCCCUGUGCUGCUGGAAUGGACAAGCAGGUUUACAAGGCCUCUCUCAGCCUGGAUAAAAUGCCCCCGUGGGUGCUGGCAGUAAAUUACAGGGCUUCGAAAACAUGGGAUGGAGACGCUGUUGCUGGGUAAGCAUGCCUAAGCCAAUAGGCCAGGCUUCUAGGACAUGCGUCAGGGGUGACAGAGAAGUGGUCACAGCUCCACCUGAAAUCAAAGUUGUGAUGAGAACGGUAUGUGCCCUCACAGCACACACACAUCAGCACACAUAACCGUGUCGUGGAGACUGCAGUUACUCCCACUGUCUUACUUUCCUUUCUCUCCCAGUUGAAGAUGCUCGCAAGUCCUAAGGGAACUGUGUGACCAUGGAGGCAACUGCCACACCUGCCAGCCUCUGCCAUCGGGUGCAGCCAGACAGCCAAAGCUGGCGGACGAAGUAGAAGGACCCUGUUGAAAUGUGGCAGCUCUCAGCAUUGUCUACACUGGCCCAUGCAUACCUCUAAUUUUAGCAUCUGUGAGGCUGAGGCAGGAGGAUUUCUUACAAAUUCAAGGCCGGCCUGGGCUACAGAGCGAAACCUUGUAUUAAAAUUCAUUGAUUGGUUAAUUAAUUAAUUAAACAAAUAAAUAAACAAAGCUAGUAAAAUUAAAGAGCGAAACAGCGUCCUUCUGUUUUAAGAAUGCACGUUGUUGAGG